UACCGCGUAGCUCAGUUGGCAGAGCAUUGGGCUAGUAUUCCAAAGAUCGUAGGUUCGAUUCCAACCGUGGACA
rnacentral:tRNA from 1 species